rnacentral:lncRNA from 1 species
AUUUCUAUAAUUUAAAAAAGUUUCUAAAAUAUUAUUACAAUAUUGUUUUUGUAAUAAUUUAUUGUUAAUCACAUAAUUUGUCAAUACUGCACAUAUUACAUAACACUAGUGAUCAUAAAGACACACAAACACACAGGUAGAAUAAUUAUAACGAUAAUAAAACUCAAAACAUAAUUUUGUAUUUUUUUGCAUGUUUUACUCAGUAAAAAAAGGAGACACGCAAGAAAAAAUAUGCAUAUCUUAAUUUUUUUCAAAUAAUUUUAUAUUAAGGUGGUACCAAACACCGUCACUUAAAUUAAUUUGUCUCGUUUAAUUUUCAUCAAGUAUUAACUUUGACCCUUUAAAAAAAUAUAUAAAAAUUUCAAAAUAUUUGAACCAACGAAUUUAUCAGAAAAAUUACACUUGUUAUAUAGCAGUUUGACAAACACUAAUUUUGAUCAUUGAGAAGCUUAAUAUUCCAUUAACAACACAACGUAAUUAAAACGUUUAGCUGAUUUUACAGAGUUAUCUGCCUGUAGUGUUAGGUACCACCUUAAGUUCUAGGGAGUGUCAGUUUUCUAACACCGUUGUUGUUUUCUUUCAUUUAAAAUCUUGUUUACACUAAUGACUGUCUGUAAAUAAUGAAUCUUGGAGUGUUUUGGAAUAUUGUUUUCUUUUUAACACGAUUUCUUUUCUUAAACAUAUAACGUUAAAUAUCAAACCAUUACAAGGAUAAUAGGUAAGAACAAUAAAAUGUUCAGAGAAAUUGGAUCAUUUAAUAAUUGAUUAUUCAUUAUACAUUCAUUAUAAUAGGUAUCUUUUUCCUUUAAUAAACAAUGACAUACUGGUAAAGUUUUAAGGAUAUGAUAACAUGUUUUAUGCCGUUUUGAUUAAAAGACGUGCCUGAACUGAAGAAGUUGACAUUUUAGUGCAUGGCUUAUUAUUCUAGCAUCCAAAAAAGUGAAAAUUGUUUGAAAAAUCCGUUGUAUUUGUUUCAGAAGGUAUAUUAUACCAUCUAAAUAAUAAAUUUUCUCACAGCAUUUUUUCAGUAAGAAAAUACUUAUGAUAAAUGAUAUGACAAUUGAUAUUAAGGAAUUUUAAUUACUAUACAAUUUAUCCUUAAAUGGGGAUUAUGAUAUACUGAACAUUAUUUGUUAAAAGAUAAUAAAUAAAACGCGUAGCAUUUGUGGAUUUUGCUUUGGCUGCAUUCUUUAUAUUGAAUAUAAGAUUUCAGAAGAAGGGUAUGUUGCAGUUUUUGGAAAUAAGAAAUUAUAUUGAUAUUCGGUAGACUAAUGCCCCAUUAACAUCUGCAAACGUGCCAUUCGAUAUAUUAAUAUACUUUUGUGGAAUCAAUAACCCUUAUCUUAGUAAAAUUGAGAAUGGAAAUUGGGAAUGUGUUAAAGAGACAACAACCGAAGAAGAAAAAAUUAAAUAAACAGCCCAACUCUUUUCUUUGUUUUGCAUUUCAAUAAAUUUAAAAGAAAUAGAAUCUCAAGAUUUAUUAACAAACCUAUACCCCAUUUCAAAUGAAUAUUUGACACAUGCUGUUUUGAUUGAAUUCCUUUUUACUGUUUAUAAGUUUUAUCUUAAUUUAUUUUUGAAGUGAGAUGCAUCUUACAAGCAUAAUAAUAUAUCGAUCCAUUAGACAUUAAGAAUAUAUGAUUCUAAUGUUUUGAAAUGAUAUACCUCAUAUUACAAUUAUAACGACAUGUUAAAAGAUAGUACUGAAAAUGUGAUCACUAUUGACAGUACUGUUCAAAAUUCAAACAUGCAUUAUCUUCACCUAAAUAUUUUGCAUUUGACACAUCGCCAUCUUGUUUCAUUCACUUUCUUCCCAUCAGGUGUCUUCUUCUCACGAACUAUAACUAUUUCUGAAUCUGUAUUUGUAUCACAACGCGAACAGAAUUUUUUCGUCAUGCUUGGAAGAGUAUACGUAUUGAUGCGAACUUUGAAAGGGUGUAUCUG